GUCCACGCCGUAAACGAUGAGUGCUAGAUGUCGCUGGUAUUGACCCCGGCGGUAUCGCAGCUAACGCGUUAAGCACUCCGCCUGGGGAGUACGGCCGCAAGGCUAAAACUCAAAGGAAUUGACGGGGCCCGCACAAGCGGUGGAGCAUGUGGUUCAAUUCGACGCAACGCGAAGAACCUUACCUGGGUUGGAACCCCCGGAAGUCCGCAGAGAUGUGGAUGUGCCCGCAAGGGAGCCGGGUGUCCAGGUGCUGCAUGGCUGUCGU
rnacentral:rRNA from 1 species